UACGGGGGGGGCAAGCGUUGUUCGGAAUUACUGGGCGUAAAGGGCUCGUAGGCGGCCAACUAAGUCGGAUGUGAAAUCCCCAGGCUCAACUUGGGAACUGCAUCCGAUACUGGAUGGCUUGAAUUCGGGAGAGGGAUGCAGAAUUCCUGGUGUAGCGGUGAAAUGCGCAGAUAUCAGGAGGAACACCGGUGGCGAAGGCGGGUCUCUGGGCAGUAACUGACGCUGAGGAGCGAAAGCGUGGGGAGCGAACAGG
rnacentral:rRNA from 1 species